AUUGAACGCUGGCGGCAGGCCUAACACAUGCAAGUCGAACGAGUGGCGGACGGGUGAGUAAUGUCUGGGAAACUGCCUGAUGGAGGGGGAUAACUACUGGAAACGGUAGCUAAUACCGCAUACCAUCAGAUGUGCCCAGAUGUGAUUAGCUGGUAGGUGGGGUAACGGCUCACCUAGGCGACGAUCCCUAGCUGGUCUGAGAGGAUGACCAGCCACACUGGAACGGAGACACGGUCACUACUCCUACGGGAGGCAGCAGGGGUGAAUAGUGCACAAUGGGCGCAAGCCUGAUGCAGCCAUGCCGCGUGUAUGAAGAAGGCCUUCGGGUUGUAAAGUACUUUCAGCGGGGAGGCGUUACCCGCAGAAGAAGCACCGGCUAACUCCGUGCCAGCAGCCGCGGUAAUUC
rnacentral:rRNA from 1 species